AACGAACGCUGGCGGCAGGCCUAACACAUGCAAGUCGAGCGCCCCGCAAGGGGAGCGGCGGACGGGUGAGUAACACGUGGGAAUUUUCCUCAAGGUACGGAACAACUCAGGGAAACUUGGGCUAAUACCGUAUGAUGCAGAGAUGCCAAAGAUUUAUCGCCUUGGGAUAAGCCCGCGUCAGAUUAGGUAGUUGGUGAGGUAACGGCUCACCAAGCCUGUGAUCUGUAGCUGGUCUGAGAGGACGAUCAGCUACAUUGGGACUGAGACACGGCCCAAACUCCUACGGGAGGCAGCAGUGGGGAAUCUUGCGCAAUGGGCGAAAGCCUGACGCAGCCAUGCCGCGUGAAUGAUGAAGGUCUUAGGAUUGUAAAGUUCUUUCGCUCGUGACGAUGAUGACGGUAACGAGAGAAGAAGCCCCGGCUAACUUCGUGCCAGCAGCCGCGGUAAUACGAAGGGGGCUAGCGUUGUUCGGAAUUACUGGGCGUAAAGCGCGCGUAGGCGGCUUUGCAAGCCAGAGGUGAAAUGCCUGAGCUCAACUUAGGAAUUGCCUUUGGGACUGCGAGGCUUCGAGGACUGGAGAGGUGAGUGGAAUUCCCAGUGUAGAGGUGAAAUUCGUAGAUAUUGGGAAGAACACCGGUGGCGAAGGCGGCUCACUGGCCAGUUUCUGACGCUAAAGCGCGAAAGCGUGGGGAUCAAACAGGAUUAGAUACCCUGGUAGUCCACGCUGUAAACGA
rnacentral:rRNA from 1 species